AUUGAACGCUUUUCGGCAGGCCUAACACAUGCAAGUCGAACGGUAACAGGAAACAGCUUGCUGUUUCGCUGACGAGUGGCGGACGGGUGAGUAAUGUCUGGGAAACUGCCUGAUGGAGGGGGAUAACUACUGGAAACGGUAGCUAAUACCGCAUAACGUCGCAAGACCAAAGAGGGGGACCUUCGGGCCUCUUGCCAUCGGAUGUGCCCAGAUGGGAUUAGCUAGUAGGUGGGGUAACGGCUCACCUAGGCGACGAUCCCUAGCUGGUCUGAGAGGAUGACCAGCCACACUGGAACUGAGACACGGUCCACACUCCUACGGGAGGCAGCAGUGGGGAAUAUUGCACAAUGGGCGCAAGCCUGAUGCAUCCAUGCCGCGUGUAUGAAGAAGGCCUUCGGGUUGUAAAGUACUUUCAGCGGGGAGGAAGGGAGUAAAGUUAAUACCUUUGCUCAUUGACGUUACCCGCAAAAGAAGCACCGGCUAACUCCGUGCCAGCAGCCGCGGUAAUACGGAGGGUGCAAGCGUUAAUCGGAAUUACUGGGCGUAAAGCGCACGCAGGCGGUUUGCUAAGUCAGAUGUGAAAUCCCCGGGCUCAACCUGGGAACUGCAUCUGAUACUGGCAAGCUUGAGUCUCGUAGAGGGGGGUAGAAUUCCAGGUGUAGCGGUGAAAUGCGUAGAGAUCAGGAGGAAUACCGGUGGCCCUCAGGCGGCCCCCUGGACGAAGACUGACGCUCAGGUGCGAAAGCGUGGGGAGCAAAAAAGACCUUAUUCCCUGGUAGUCCACGCCGUAAACGAUGUCGACUUGGAGGUUGUGCCCUUGAGGCGUGGCUUCCGGAGCUAACGCGUUAAGUCGACCGCCUGGGGAGUACGGCCGCAAGGUUAAAACUCGAAUGAAUUGACGGGGGCCCGCACAAGCGGUGGAGCAUGUGGUUUAAUUCGAUGCAACGCGAAGAACCUUACCUGGUCUUGACAUCCACAGAACUUUCCAGAGAUGGAUUGGUGCCUUCGGGAACUGUGAGACAGGUGCUGCAUGGCUGUCGUCAGCUCGUGUUGUGAAAUGUUGGGUUAAGUCCCGCAACGAGCGCAACCCUUAUCCUUUGUUGCCAGCGGUCCGGCCGGGAACUCAAAGGAGACUGCCAGUGAUAAACUGGAGGAAGGUGGGGAUGACGUCAAGUCAUCAUGGCCCUUACGACCAGGGCUACACACGUGCUACAAUGGCGCAUACAAAGAGAAGCGACCUCGCGAGAGCAAGCGGACCUCAUAAAGUGCGUCGUAGUCCGGAUUGGAGUCUGCAACUCGACUCCAUGAAGUCGGAAUCGCUAGUAAUCGUGGAUCAGAAUGCCACGGUGAAUACGUUCCCGGGCCUUGCACA
rnacentral:rRNA from 1 species